ensembl:lncRNA
UUAUUUGUAGCUGGAACAUUUAGUGGGAGAUCUGUUUAGAAUAUGAAUUUGUUUUGCUACUAAAAUAGCAGCAAGGGAGAAAACUGCUCAGUUCCUUUUGGAACUGCCCUCAGAAAGCAUUUCAAAAAUGAAGCAAACCAAGAGUAUGUCCAACAUGCUGCCUUUCACAGCAUCAGUGGAGUAUGCAGUACCGUGACUUUUAUGCGAUGCCAGAAAAUCACCACCAGAAAUGGAAACAGAUCUCUCAACACUUCUACCAUACACUGGGAAAAUCACUUUGAGGAACGUGGGCUACCAACAUCAACACUGCUGAGCUGCUGUUCAUGACCACUUGUAGCACGAAUGUGUCCACCGAGGAGGUUGGAGUGUCAGUCUAUAUCAUCUGCCAUCUUUUGAGCUGAUGUCUCCAGGGGCCGCAGAGCAAACAUGCACAGAAGAAGGUGAGUUGUCAGACAAACAUGCAGUGCCUGAGGAGUCUUCCUGCGAAGUACCACUGCUGGGAGGGGAUGCUCAAUGGGAAACCAUCUUACCGAUUUGCUUACAAAGUAGGGGACUAUUACACCCUGAUUUUAAAGAAAGGAAAUGCAAGCACAUAGCUGGUGUAUGGGAGCAACACAAGAAGUCUAAAGCACUCCCAGAUGCUGGAUCUACAACUCUAAGGACUGACUUGAUUUUUGUCGUUGUUCUGUGGCAAAUGUCUCUGUGAACAAGAGCUUGUAAAAAAGUUUCCAGAUUAAAAGCAGCAUUCUUUCUGGCUUAGCUCCUAAGCAUAUUGGAUGAUCUUAAUAUCUGCCUUGUGAAUGCAUAUUGCAUUUAUUGUAAUAUUGCAACAUUUAUUGCAAUAUUGCAAAUUCACCUGUAUUAAAUGUUGAUCCCAUGCAGAGACAUUGAACCCCAUUUCAUAAGGGAACUCUUUCACGUGCUGGGAUGUAUCACUUGGAGGCUUUUCAAAUGAGGUUGUUUUGGAAUAGCUUACUUCUUUGCACUAGUUUCCUGAGCAAGACUUGCAGGCUGUCAAAUAUAAACACAUAUUUCAGUGGGAACAGUUUAUAAGAGCUUCAUUCUAAUGUAAAUUUACAUGAGUUUUGCAUUGGUGUAACUGCUGGAUCUGGAUGAGGAUCAGAUGUGAGAUCAGAUCAGUGCUCACCCUGUGGCCUCGCACAUCCCCUUCUGCCCCUGGCAGAGUGUUACCUCACCCCUGUGUGCUCCUGCACCAGAAGGGCUGGCUGCUGGCUGCCCCACUCUUGGAGGUGGUACCUGUCCCUUCCAGUCACCCACUUGCAAAUAAUUAACCCACUGUUAAGGCCUGCAGCCAAACCCAUGUCAGCCAGGCUGGGGAGAUCACCAUGGCUGCUUUUUCCCUCUGUUUCACCCCAGAUGAAUUAGUUGAUGUUACCCCAAAUUCAGUUUGAUUUCCCAUCCAUUUUCCUUUCUCAGCCUCUGUAGGUUCUGUCCCUGAUUUCACAGCACUGCAAUCAGCUGCGUGCUGAAUUAAUGCUCUGUUUACCUUCUAGUCCAGAUUGUUAACAGCAUGACCCUGGUUCACAAAGUUCAUUGGCUUUUAUUAGCUUAAUUUGGUCCUUUAAUGGUGCUGCUCAUUCACCUUCAAAGCCUGGGAGGCUGACUUCUUUUUUUGCUCUUUUUAUUCAGAGCAAAAAAAAAAAUCAGAAAAAGAAUGAUAUUUCUGGUAUAUGUAUGUCUCGUGUCAGCACAGCUUUACUUUUAUUUCUGGAAUUUCCACUCUUUUUCUUCACAGAUAUCGUUCCUUGCUCAAGCAACAGCUCUUUCUUUAUCUUUUCUUUUCUUCUUUUUUUCUUUCCUCUCUGGAAAAGGACAACCAAUCUUUCCCCUCUUCUCUUUUGCCACCCCAAGCUUUUGUACAGCUCAUAGCAUCAUUCCUAGAAAAUCUGCAAAACAUGAAUAUUGAGGGCUGGGGCUGCUUUCAGUUACUGGAAUGAGGCUGCUAACCUCAUCCUGCAUCUGAUUAAUACGUAAGUAGCAAGGAGGUGCCCUGUAGGGAGUCCAAAUAGGAAUCCCUUCUGUUAUAGGAUGCCACAGCUAUGAGUCACUCCAAAUGAGGAUCUUAGUAAAAACAUCGACAUCUCUAAACUAUUUGGGGAAAAUAAACAAAUCUAUCUAAAGGAAUGUUAACCUGUUGAUCCUACGGUGGCUUUUUUUUCCUUCUGAAUGUUCUUUGCCUUUGCUUGAGCUAAUAACAUUGCUUUACUACAGAAAGAGGUUUUAAACUGUGCACAGCGCGGUCCCUUUGAGCCUAAUGGCAAUGCAGAGAUGAGCGAUGCUUUCGUGUGUUGUGCCCUCAAAGGAUCAUUUUCAGGAACAAAUGUUGCAGAAUAAAAAUAAUAACCAAAAUUAAGGACAUUACAGAGCUAAUGUGAAGUUUAUGGCAUGACUGAAAUACCAAACUCUUACAUAUUAUCUAAAACUCCCAUGGGAGAACUUUAGAAGUAUAAAAAAAGCUCAAGUCAAAUUCUCACUUCCUUUUUACUACUGACACUUCAAAGCUCUUCCUGCAGAAAAUGUCAUUUCCAGGCUUGAGUAACUCUCCUCUUUGGGCGUUCCUUGCCCCUGGCUGGCAGCAUAUUUGCCAUUAUCAUAUUUUUCCUACGUUUGGGUGCUGCUGCUAUGCUGUGUCCAGGCACAGCUGAGCACCCUGCCUCUGAGCCACCAAGAGGAGCAGCAGCUCUGAGCUCCCUGGACCUAGUUUUUGUCAGCAGAUUAUGGGUGCAGAGCCCUGUUUGUGGCUGGCAUGCUGGUCCUGUGAGUGGUGGCAGUGCUGUGAUGUGUUUCUCAGUGCAGACAGCCAACUGCUGCCAAGCCAUUUCCCAAGCGGAAUACAAUAGCCAAGCUUGGACAUCACCUCCAGGUUGAAAUCACUCCUCUCCUAGGACCAAAACACCUUACAGUUAGAAUGGAGAUGCUUAGUCCUGUGAAAGUUGCAGCUGUUGUAGGUGUCAUGCAAAGGUGGAGGGAUACUCCCAAAGGAUGCUACCAUAAACCUGGGGGCUGCAGGCACUGCUGCUUCCUGAAAUGCCAGGUAAAUGUUGUCAGAUCCAGGUAAUGGCUCUACUUUCUCUCCUCUGUCUCUAGAAUUUAUCUUUCCAUCUGGUUUCAAGUAGUCCUGCUGGGCUUUUACCAUCCUUCUUCCCACUGUUAUGUAGCUGAAUGCUCCAGAUUCCUACACCCACAGUUUUUCUGUAGAUGAGGCUUACGUUACUUGAGUUUUUGUUGUUUCAUCCACACACCCGGCAGGUUUUAGGGCACAGCAAUUCAUCUGCAGUGAACUAUAAUCAUCAUACGUUUUCUGUCAUUUUAGCAGAAUAUUAAUGUUGAGCCGUACACAAACCACAGUGAACUCUGGAAGUUGAGCUUCUAACCAAAACUAAAAAUCAGUGAGGGAAAUAAGGGAAAGCUAACUGUGAACUGGUGGUUUCUGCAGCCUGUUCCUUCAUUCUCAGCCCCAGGGAAGUGAUGGGCAACCUCUGUGAAGCCACGCUGCUCACUGUACAAUCUGCACCAGCAGCACUGCCUUUCCCACUUGGGAGAUGAGAAAUGCCAGGGAUUUCAGUAACUUUCACAGGCAGUAUAUGCAUGUUUUCUAAACUUGUCAUCAUUUGCUUCUGCUGAUUUUUAAAUAAGGCUGCUUCUUUUUCUUCAUCUUUGAAUGAGAAGAAAGAAACUACAUGGGAUGCUCAGCUUUUUUAACUCAACAUGUAAUCAGGAAAAGCCUCAGCAUCGUUGUCAUGAACAAAAACACACAGAUGGGACUCUUGUAAGUGUUUAAACACAUAAAUUGAAGUUUUCCAGUUUUCUCCAGGGGAUUUUUAUGCAGCAAAUGGUAGGAAAAAAUAAUUGUGUAGGAGGGAUUAUAAUGCCUUUCCAAUCAUUCAAUCCUAAUGUUCCAUAAGUUAGUGUAAUCACUUAUUAGUGAUAGCAACAAUUAAAAAAAAAAAGAUUUCUAAUCUUGACUGUUCUUUUCUGCAGUUUAAUCAGUCGUUCGUUCUUUUGAUCAUUUGUUUUACAACUUCCUGACGCCCACCUAACUUGAGGUGGCAUCCCCUCAGCUGCAGAACAGAAAAUAAGGGACUAAAAUAAAAUUGUCAAACCUGAACUACUUUUUCUGUGUCUAUAUAACGGUAGUUUUGGUUUAUUCUAGAUACACCGACUAUUUAAAUAUCCUUCCCAAUUUAAUUACCUGCAAGAUAUGAAGUUCUUUAUCUGUGUUUGCAUGCCAUAUGUGUUUGGUUUGGCAAUAUUUCACAGAAGGCAUAUCUCCAAAAAAUAUUAACAACUACUGUUCAGAACCAAACCUACCAUUAUUUAUCAUUUUUCCAUUUGGAUCACAGCCGUAGGUGUCAAAUCAGGAUUUUGGCCGAACAUUUACUUAAGUCUGAGUGGCCAGCAAGCUUUAACUGCAAGUAAAGAAUGCAGCCACACAGGUGACAAACAACAUGCCCCAGGAAAUGUCCAGGUGUGGCUGAAAAACCUUACGAUCUGGCUGAAGAACUUCCCCUCCAUGCUCCUCCUCCUUGCAUAGUGUUAUUAGUCUGAUCUCAGUUCGCUUUUCAGAAGCCCAAUUUAGAAGCAAUCCUCUCAAAUAUUUACAGCUUCUAAUACUUUCAAGUUGUUCAAAGAAGCCAUGGAAUGAGUUUCAUUCCUUGGAGAAACCAUCAGUUUAGGCUGAAGUCAGUGGAGCUGCCUCACGAGCCAAAUCGAUUGACACUGUUGAUCUAACACUAAUUUCUUCAGCAGUAUGCUGCACUGUCCUACCAACAGUUGAAAUGUUAUUUUUUCUCUUCAUUUCUUUUUUUCUGCUUUGAGAUUACAGGUUACUUUGGGGCUUUGUGUAGAAAUGUUUGCUAAAUGUCCUGCAUUUUGGACCUGGGCAUUUGGACUAUGUUCAGGCUAUCCUUAAAUACUUUAUUUGAUCACCCUUUCUGACUCAAGGAGGCAAUACCUGGAGUCUUCCUGUUCCCCUGUGUGCUACCUAGCAGCCUUGCCCAGUCACGUUGGCAGUUGGGUUUGGCACUUUGCAGGAGAUGAUCCGAAAUGACCCUUAGCCACUCAUUCUGUGGCUAUGGCAAGUAACACCAAAUCUCAUCCAAAUAUAAGUUGGUCUAAUGCCCCAGAUUAACACCCAGAAGCACAGAUCAGGUCACAUGGGCUGAAAUGCUUUGUUGGAAGUAAGAAGUCUUGGCUGCCUUCAGAUUCUCUGUGGGUUUAAAUGCAAUGACAAAUAGUUUAACAGAAUAGAAACUUUUAGGUAGUUCUACUGUCUUGUAAGAUACAUCAAAACACGACAAUAAAUUUAGUAGUGAGUAGUAGUAGUAUGUAAGGGGAGUCAAUUCUUUAUGAGGGUAGAUAAUGGCAGGACAAGGGGAAAUGGUUUUAAGUUGAAGGAAGGAAGAUUUAGGCUGGAUAUCAGGGGGAAGUUCUUUACCAAGAGAGUAGUGAGGUGCUGGAACAGGAUGCCCAGAGAGGCUGUGGGUGCCCCAUCCCUGGAGGUGUUCAAGGCCAGGUUGGAUGGGGCCCUGGGCAGCCUGAUUAGUAUUAGAUAUGGAGGUUGGUGGUCCUGCCUGUGGCAGGGGGAUUGGAGCUGUAUAAUCCUUGAGGUCCCUUCCAACCCAAGCCAUCCUAUGAUUCUAUGAUAAAGAAGCAUGUCUACUUAAUGCAUUUUUUUUCAUGCUCUAUAAUAGUGUUUCUGUAAACUGCAUAAUCCACUUAUCAACUGAAGGCCCAUCACUUUUCCUUCUUGAGAGCCUAUCUAUUUUCAAUAGCAGGAAGGUGAUAUGCAUUAAUAAAUUCACACACACACAGAAAUAAAAAAAGCAUGCACUAGUUGCAGAAGCAGCAACACUAAUUGCUUGAAGUAACGUGCCUACCUGGUAGAGUAGUAAAACUUGUAAGAACUGCAGCUGAAGAUGUGAAACAUCCUUUCACCUGGCUGUUCUGGCAAGAUAGAAAGAAAAAUCUUUACAGUCUUCUCCAGAGUCUUUGUUUUCUCUUCACCAUUGUAACAAUAUAUUUAUCUUUAAGAAUAUAAGAAAACAAGAGGUGAGAUUUUCAAUGGUUGUGAAUCCAAGGAAGCUCCUAGAGCUAUAAUGGCUUCAGCAGCUGGAGGUCAACCAACUGCAGACACUUCUGCGGUUGCUGGCUAUGAAUGCUUGAAAUAUAUUAUUUCCACAGCCAACACAAAUUUAAAAUAAGAUAAAAUAAAAUGAAAUAGAAAAUGAUUUUUAAUGUCUUGAUUUCAAUAUAUUUAUUUUGAUCACUCUCUCGCUG